AACUUUCAACAACGGAUCUCUGGGCUCUGGCAUCGAUUAAGAACGCAGCGAAAUGCGAUAAGUAAUGUGAAUUGCAGAAUUCAGUGAAUCAUCGAAUCUUUGAACGCACAUUGCGCCCGCCAGCAUUCUGGCGGGCAUGCCUGUUCGAGCGUCAUUUCAACCCUCGACUUCCCCUGGGGGAUGUCGGCGUUGGGGACCGGCAGCACACCGCCGCCCCCGAA
rnacentral:rRNA from 1 species